UGCCAUUUCCGUUUGUUUUUUUCCGAAUACUUUGAAGUAUCCUCCCUAAAAAUGAUCCUUUACUCCGUCUAUUGUUUGAUCAUUUGGUCAAAUUUUCAUUUCAAAGCCCAAAGAAAAGUAAAGUCUGAUUUGAAAAGCUGAGACUCGAGGAUUUCUCAAGUUUUUGGCUUGUGAAAUCCCCCAAAAUAGUCCUUUAAUGUACUUAUAGUAAUCCUAAGUUUGUUGUGAAUAUGAAGAGUGUGAAUUGUUGAAUGAUCUGAUGUGAGUUUUGCUUUUUCUUCAUCUUCGUUCGACCGAAACUGUAUCAGUGAAGAGAUUUUCUUUAUGAGGGUCUUCGGCCUCUCAGCUCAAGUUCAUGCAGUCCUACAUUUUCUGCUGUUUUUGUACAAGAGUAUUUCUCAGCCCUCAGGGAGCGAAAAACACAUUACAUAUGUCAACAUACAGCUUAUCCUCACCUGGAUACAGGUGAGAGAAAACAACAACAGAGUCUGAUCAUUGAGUAGUAAUUAGGUUAGUAAUUAGACAUUAAUACCUUUAAAUAGUUUGAGCUUUAACUCCCAUAUUCAUACUAAUCUCAUUUUAUCAGGGGUUAUGUUGCUCAGGAGCACUUCAGAAGGGCAGAUCAGCUGCUGGAGGAUUAAAUCUCGGACAAAAUGUCCUCUCUUAAAGUUUUUGUUCUUUCUCGUCCUGUUCGCAAGCUGCCACGGUCUCACCAGGCUCCAUUUAAAAAUCUACUAAUUUAAUCUUGUGCCGCUAACCGGCACAUGGACUUAAACUUUGUGCAGGAUGAACUUUGACCUCUCUUCGGUCUUGGACUUGUGGUUAAUUCAGCAGAAGUGGAAUCCAACAAGCUGCUUUGUGUUCAGACGAAAACUCAGUAUUUGCCUUUUUUUUAAAAUUGAUUUAAAGACGAGUGCAAAGUCUAAAGUAAAGGGGAGGUUUCCUCUUUAAAUAAAGAGUUAAUCACUUUUUAAUGUCUUAAGAUGAGUCUUCAAGCUAUUAAUUUUAUUGUUUGGUUUGUUUGUACAACCGGAGAAGGGAGCAGGUAGAGGAGCAGGAGGAGGAGGCGGAGGAGGAGGAGGCAGGUGUGUCUGAAAACCAAAAGGACUGGAUGAGCCUCAUAGAGAGAGAGAGAAACUGGAGCAUUUACAAGGACGUAAUAAUCCUGAUUUCACGAUUAAUCAAAAUAACAGCGAUUAUGAUUUUUGUCCUUCCUGGAGUUGUAGUUGGGUGUCUGUGUUGUCAUGUGUGGUCUAGCGCAAUCAAGGCCACGCGAACCUUAAAGAUUAGCUUGUCACCAUGAUUUACAUGAACCACAGCAGGACGAUAUGUGAGCCUUCCACCCCCAACUUAACUUCGGAUACCUGCUUUCAGUUUUCAGCGUUUCCACCCGUUAAAACUGCUGAGAUCAUGUCCCGCCUGUUUUUCUUGUAUUCUACUCUGGGAGAAUGGUUUAUCACGAUAUGUUUUUUCGUAUUAGUCGAUAUCGAUAUCAGGAUUCAAAGAAUGAAAUUUAACAGUGUUUAUUGGUCACAUGUCUUUUGUCUGUUUCGUCUCCUCGCUCCUCUCGGGGUUUGUAACCUUUGGCGUGUCGCGUGCUCUGCGGCGUGGCGCUGCUUCAGGUGGUGAAAAAGAUUUGAGGUAUUCCCCGACUUUGUGAGAACAUGUACUCGACAUAAUUUACAGUCCACAUUACUCUGCUUCAUGUCCGACCUCCAAAAACCAAAAUACCUCCACACCACCGACGUUUUCCUAACGCCAGUGUUGUGGUUGACAUUGAUGUGGUCAUCUGUUGAGCCUUCAUGGUCAUUUCUGUCGGGGGUAGCACUCAUUUUCUUUGUUUCUCACCAACAGUGCUGUCGGCUUCACCUGUUAAAGUGCUAUGGUUGGGUGGAGCUGCUGUCUGCUACGACGCUGCAGUUGGUUGAUACUUGGUUCUAAUUCAGAACAUGAUUGGUUCAGACCCGGAGACACUCCCCUUUUCAUUGGCUGUUCGUAUAGUCGACCAAAACAUGGCAGAAUGACGAUUAUCGGAAAGGAUAGUGACAAUGUUUUAUAUUGACAUUGAGGUAAAUUAACUUUGAUCUUUUCGUUAUGGUUUUAUCGCCCAGCCCUACCCAACAUUAUUACAUUUUAUACUGACCAGUUCAUCCACUCUCUUCCACUGGCGAGACUCCUCCUCCUGGUUCUUCCCCCAGGCAUCCUGGCAGAGUGUACCCAGGCCUCGGUGAUCCCUCAGCGGGUUGGCCGACCCCCUGAUUCGCCUGGAGCUACAGCUUGGUGACAUUUUUUAGAUAGUGGAAGCUGUUUGUUACUGUCUCUCUGUCUCUUUCACUUUCAUGGCCAUGGUAACUCCAUAGAGCAGCGGUGCUCAGCCAGCCCUCUUUUCUUUGGUUGACCCUCCUAGACUGUAAAACACAGCAGUUAACUUAAUCUCCCUGUUGCUUCCUCUGUUAAAGAAAAGAGGCGUCUGUCGCUCAGUGGAGCCGUGAAAGAGAUUAAAAGAGGAUUUCUCUACUUUUAACACAUUUUUGGAAACUGAGUGAAGCCGAAACCUCAGCCAGAACUCUGUGUUUUUGUUUUUUUUCAUGCUAAUGUUGUUCAAAAAGCACUUCAGUGUGGGGGGUCUGAGCUUACCCCCAUCAGGACUCACUCUUGCACUGAUACAUUCACAUGUGUUUACUGGUGUUUGUCCGGUAAAUAAGACCGAGGCCUUGUCCUCUUCGGGGAGUUUUAUUCGGGUUUCCAUGGAGGCUGAGUGUUUGUGCUCAGUCCGUUUUAUCCAACACCUGCAGCACUGGAUAGUUCUGAGGAUACUCUCUGAAAUAGUUUCAGCGGUUUCAUGGUUACCUGCCGGUGAUUUCUGACACAAACUUUGAAAUGGUGCGGAGAUUAGAGGAUCGUUACACGGCAACUCCUGAUGGUUCUUUGGAAAUUCAGUUAUCAAACUGUUUAUAUUUUUAUACCGAAUCAUGAUUUGGGGUUUCUUUGACAGGAUGUUUAGAUUUAUACCCGACUUUAAGGAAACAGACUUGAAUAGUUUUCUUGGCAGUAAUCCUUGACUGACCCGGGGAUUCCACUGGAACGGCUACGCUCCGGAUCGGCAGGCCAAUCAAAUGCGCAAGCAUACAGCGCCCACAGGAUCCAAUCAGCCGCCACCAUCAGAGGAGACGCGCUCGCAAGAUUACCGAUAUUUCUUGCGAGACUUGGCGAGAUCUCAUGAGAUCUCGCAUGUUUCCCUGUGGGACAUUGAGAUCCGCCGAUUGGUGUACAUAAACACCCACAUCCCACAACCCUCGCCCCUCCCAUUAUCACGUGAAGGACAGUUCAAAAUAUUGACUUUAUUUUACUUUGAAAAUCAACCGGAUAUUUUAUUUUGUAGCCACAUACAACUUCAUACAACGUGCUGCGGCAUCCCGCAAAAAUAGAAGCCUAAUGCUGCGACGUCCAGUCACUUCGGAAGUCGGAUGCUGGAGCUGGAAAUGACAUUACAUCCGAGUUGACGGCUUUCCAGUUAACAAGUCGGAAAACCAAGAUGGACGCCUACAGUUACCCGUUGUUCGCUGUUGUUUAUAAUUUUCAGCUGUUGUUAGCCGUUGUCAACUGUUUUUACUUGUCGUUAGCUAUACCAGUUGAAAACAACGCAUAACACAGUAUUUUACUCGUACGAACACCAUAGCACCGUGUUCACAGUUAGACGUUGAGCAUUAAAACAUUGCGAGAGCUUUCACUGUUCCUCUUUACUGUUGAUGCACUGCGCUACCAUCUUGAAUUAUGACGGUGUCGUCAAGUCAGGGUUGGCGACAGAAAUCCGACUUCAGGGACGCGUUCCAGAUAAAUUCCGGACUCUGCGCUCGGAAAUUCCAUCUUCUGAGUACAACCGGAACAUAGCAUAAAAAAAGACCGAACUGUACGACGACUCUGCACAAAGUGGCGGAUCACCUGAGUCCUGAAACCAUUGUGAGGGCUGUUCCUCGGGUUUCCCUCACUCAGGCACCUUUUUCAGUCAUUUCCCUCAGAGCUCAGUCUGAACCUCACAUAUCGAGCCCGGUGGUGUUUUCUGCCAGCCUGCUGCUCUAAUCCUCAAACUGAGGCGCUAGGAAAUUUGUCAGAGCUGCAGAAAGUGUAGGAGCUAAUCUGUCAGACUGCUGAGCAACAACCAGCAUGCCUGUAAACCGACAGGAAUCACCAGAGAGAGAGGAAAUGAAUAUAUUUAAAGCCCGCUGUGACUCACAUGUUUCUGUCUGGAGCUGUUUCCUCAGAGCAGAAGAAACCUGCACGUGCUGACAGGUGUCAUUUAUCCGACUUUUCUGUAUUUACAACCAGAUACAAUUCCCUAAUACUCUCAUUUUUUCCCCUCUCUAAAAUCACUCGUAGUUUUUUCCUUUAAAUGAGAUAAAAGCAAAGUCCAGUCAAACCUCUGUCACUGUUGAGAAAACUGAGCGUUAAAGGUAGGGUAGUCAGGAUCUGAGGAAGUGCCAGUUUUAAGGAGAAAUCUUGAAUGUAAACUCUACCCCUCCCAACCAGUUUUCCCCUCAAGCCCCGCCCACAAACAGACGCUCCUGCUCGCUCGUAUCGUUCCAAUUAAAUUCAGAUAUAAUGCAGAUAAAUACUUCAGAUCAUUACAAAUGGGGCCCAGUCAAGGUGAAAGUCAAAAGCAUUGGUGCUACUGUAGAUGCCAACAGACUACCAGCAAACACAAUUAGGGUUGGGCAUCGAGUCUCGAGCAUCGAUGGGGACCGUGACUGACAUUCCGAUUCUCCCGGAAUCAUUCAAAUUUUAAAAUUUCAAGUUCCAAGUUCCGAUGCCGGAGUCCGCCGACCGGAAGAAAUAACCAACAAAUACCACAAUGGAGAAUCGUUAGGAACCGGAAUCGAAACGAGGAAUCGGAACCGGAAUAGUUCAAGAUCAAGCAAUACCCAACCCUAAACGCAAUGUUUGCAGGACUUCUCCAAUGAGGAUAAAGUGACAUAGUCCAGGACCCGAGGGAGGACAGUUUAGCGAUGGCGCUACAACACGCUACAGCAGGUCCGUUUGACAAGAAACACUUCUGUUACAGACACUUGUCUUACUUUGUUAAAGCGGUUUACCUGUCCAGCAGAAAGGUUACAGGGUCACCAAGAUCCCCAAGCGUCCCCCAUGGUUUAUGUUGACCCGGCUUUUUAGCUCUUGUCCGCUCU
rnacentral:lncRNA from 1 species